AUGUUCACUCUGGCAACACAUAUACUAAAAUUGAAAUCAAACAGAGAAGACAGCACUCCACCUGUUCAAGUAUGAUAUGGUAAAUGUUCCAUAUUUUA
rnacentral:snRNA from 1 species